rnacentral:rRNA from 1 species
CGAACGGGCGACUAAUACUGCAGUCGAGCGGACAGAUGGGAGCUUGCUCCCUGAUGUUAGCGGCGGACGGGUGAGUAACACGUGGGUAACCUGCCUGUAAGACUGGGAUAACUCCGGGAAACCGGGGCUAAUACCGGAUGCUUGUUUGAACCGCAUGGUUCAAACAUAAAAGGUGGCUUCGGCUACCACUUACAGAUGGACCCGCGGCGCAUUAGCUAGUUGGUGAGGUAAUGGCUCACCAAGGCAACGAUGCGUAGCCGACCUGAGAGGGUGAUCGGCCACACUGGGACUGAGACACGGCCCAGACUCCUACGGGAGGCAGCAGUAGGGAUCUUCCGCAAUGGACGAAAGUCUGACGGAGCAACGCCGCGUGAGUGAUGAAGGUUUCGGAUCGUAAAGCUCUGUUGUUAGGGAAGAACAAGUACCGUUCGAAUAGGGCGGUACCUUGACGGUACCUAACCAGAAAGCCACGGCUAACUACGUGCCAGCAGCCGCGGUAUACGUAGGUGGCAAGCGUUGUCCGGAAUUAUUGGGCGUAAAGGGCUCGCAGGCGGUCCUUAAGUCUGAUGUGAAAGCCCCCGGCUCAACCGGGGAGGGUCAUUGGAAACUGGGGAACUUGAGUGCAGAAGAGGAGAGUGGAAUUCCACGUGUAGCGGUGAAAUGCGUAGAGAUGUGGAGGAACACCAGUGGCGAAGCGACUCUCUGGUCUGUAACUGACGCUGAGGAGCGAAAGCGUGGGGAGCGAACAGGAUUAGAUACCCUGGUAGUCCACGCCGUAACGAUGAGUGCUAGUGUUAGGGGGUUUCCGCCCCUUAGUGCUGCAGCUACGCAUAGCACUCGCUGGGGAGUACGGUCGCAGACUGAACUCAAGGAUGACGGGGCCGCACAGCGUGAGCAUGUGUUUAUCGAGCACGCGAGACUAACAGUCUGACAUCUCUGACAUCCUAGAGAUAGACGUCCAUCGGGGCAGAUGAAGUGGUGCAUGGUUGUCGUCAGCUCUGUCUGGAAUGUAGCUAAGUCCGCACGAGGCACUGACUAGUGC